rnacentral:rRNA from 1 species
GACGAACGCUGGCGGCGUGCUUAACACAUGCAAGUCGAACGGAAAGUCCCUGCUUUUGUGGGGUGCUCGAGUGGCGAACGGGUGAGUAACACGUGAGUAACCUGCCCUUGACUUUGGGAUAACUUCAGGAAACUGGGGCUAAUACCGGAUAGGAGCUCCUGCUGCAUGGUGGGGGUUGGAAAGUUUCGGCGGUUGGGGAUGGACUCGCGGCUUAUCAGCUUGUUGGUGGGGUAGUGGCUUACCAAGGCUUUGACGGGUAGCCGGCCUGAGAGGGUGACCGGCCACAUGGGGACUGAGAUACGGCCCAGACUCCUACGGGAGGCAGCAGUGGGGAAUAUUGCACAAUGGGCGGAAGCCUGAUGCAGCAACGCCGCGUGCGGGAUGACGGCCUUCGGGUUGUAAACCGCUUUCGCCUGUGACGAAGCGUGAGUGACGGUAAUGGGUAAAGAAGCACCGGCUAACUACGUG